CGCUGGCGGCAGGCCUAACACAUGCAAGUCGAGCGGUAACAGAGAGWSGCUUGCACCUUUGCUGACGAGCGGCGGACGGGUGAGUAAUGCUUGGGAACAUGCCUUGAGGUGGGGGACAACAGUUGGAAACGACUGCUAAUACCGCAUAAUGUCUACGGACCAAAGGGGGCUUCGGCUCUCGCCUUUAGAUUGGCCCAAGUGGGAUUAGCUAGUUGGUGAGGUAAUGGCUCACCAAGGCAACGAUCCCUAGCUGGUUUGAGAGGAUGAUCAGCCACACUGGAACUGAGACACGGUCCAGACUCCUACGGGAGGCAGCAGUGGGGAAUAUUGCACAAUGGGCGCAAGCCUGAUGCAGCCAUGCCGCGUGUGUGAAGAAGGCCUUCGGGUUGUAAAGCACUUUCAGUCAGGAGGAAAGGGUGUGAGUUAAUACCUCACAUCUGUGACGUUACUGACAGAAGAAGCACCGGCUAACUCCG
rnacentral:rRNA from 1 species